rnacentral:rRNA from 1 species
UACAGAGGUCCCAAGCGUUGUUCGGAUGCAUUGGGCGUAAAGGGUGCGUAGGCGGCGGGGUAAGUCAGUUGUGAAAUCCCGGAGCUCAACUCCGGAACUGCACUUGAUACUGCCUUGCUUGAGUACUGGAGAGGAGACUGGAAUUUACGGUGUAGCAGUGAAAUGCGUAGAUAUCGUAAGGAAGACCAGUGGCGAAGGCGAGUCUCUGGACAGCUACUGACGCUGAGGCACGAAGGCCAGGGGAGCAAACGGG